AACGAACGCUGGCGGCAGGCCUAACACAUGCAAGUCGAACGUGAAGCCACCUUCGGGUGGUGGAAAGUGGCAGACGGGUGAGUAACACGUGGGAACGUACCCUUCGGUUCGGAAUAACCCAGGGAAACUUGGGCUAAUACCGGAUACGUCCGAAAGGAGAAAGAUUUAUCGCCGAAGGAUCGGCCCGCGUCGGAUUAGCUAGUUGGUGAGGUAACGGCUCACCAAGGCGACGAUCCGUAGUUGGUCUGAGAGGAUGAUCAGCCACACUGGGACUGAGACACGACCCAGACUCCUACGGGAGGCAGCAGUGGGGAAUAUUGGACAAUGGGCGCAAGCCUGAUCCAGCCAUGCCGCGUGAGUGAUGAAGGCCCUAGGGUUGUAAAGCUCUUUCGCCAGGGACGAUAAUGACGGUACCUGGAUAAGAAGCCCCGGCUAACUUCGUGCCAGCAGCCGCGGUAAUACGAAGGGGGCUAGCGUUGUUCGGAAUCACUGGGCGUAAAGCGCAUGUAGGCGG
rnacentral:rRNA from 1 species